UAUUGCACAAUGGGCGCAAGCCUGAUGCAGCCAUGCCGCGUGUGUGAAGAAGGCCUUCGGGUUGUAAAGCACUUUCAGUCAGGAGGAAGGGUUAGUAGUUAAUACCUGCUAGCUGAGACGUUACUGACAGAAGAAGCACCGGCUAACUCCGUGCCAGCAGCCGCGGUAAUACGGAGGGUGCGAGCGUUAAUCGGAAUUACUGGGCGUAAAGCGUACGCAGGCGGUUUGUUAAGCGAGAUGUGAAAGCCCCGGGCUCAACCUGGGAACUGCAUUUCGAACUGGCAAACUAGAGUGUGAUAGAGGGUGGUAGAAUUUCAGGUGUAGCGGUGAAAUGCGUAGAGAUCUGAAGGAAUACCGAUGGCGAAGGCAGCCACCUGGGUCAACACUGACGCUCAUUACGAA
rnacentral:rRNA from 1 species